GGCUGUCUGGACUCUUAAUCCUUGCCCACCCAUGAGCACAGAGGCAGCUGCUCUGGCUGUGCGGAAAUUACGUUGCUGAUGAGCAGCUCUGGGAAAGCGGAAGACGCACGAAGCUUUUCCACCUACAGGAAGUGCGACAAAAUUCAAACAGACUCUGCUCCCGUCUCUGCGCUCCUCUCCCGUCUCCCGUCCCCCAUCCUGCAUCCUGCAUCCUGUAUCCUGCUGGCAAAGCGGAAGCAAAAAAAGCAGAGCGAAAGAGGGAGCCAAGCGCCGGGCGGAGAAUUGAGUGGGCGGCAGUGGUGGUGGGUCAGUGGGUGGCCCUGUGACAGCUCUGGGCUGGCAUAAAUGCGCACACGGCGCAAGGCAAAAAGUUUCCUGGCAGGAGCCAGGACUCCCAAAGAGGAAGUGACUAGUGAGGCCAUGGAAUGGGAAAGGCAUGGUGGGCAGUGGGUGGCUGGGCCCGGGUUUGUUAUCGUCAUUCCCUUCGGCAAACGGAGGGGGCAGAGAGAAAGCUGAGGGCGACGUACUUUAUUUCCUGAAAAUGUCCUCGAAAAUAUGAACAUUAUAUCCCGGAAACGGAAGCUGCAGCAUUUGCAAGGAAGUGACGCAAGGGGCAGGAAGCACAGCACCCGCCCGCCCACCGAGCACAAAACAUUCCGUGGACAUGGACAUGAAUGUGGAUUUGGAUGGGUUGAUUAAAGCGGGUAAACAGCAGCGACAGGAGACCAGGACGACAACGAAACGAGGACGAGCACCAGGACACCGUUGAAAUGUACACACAAGUGAAACAGGACACACACAGCACAGACGAAAAAGCUGCUCAAAUGCAGCAAAUAGCAAAUAUUAAGUACUAAAAUAUAAUUGCAUGUAAGUCAAAAGAUUAAAACUCAACGACCAUGACGGGACUUGAACCCGCAAUUUUCGGAUCAGAAAUCCGACGCCUUAUCCAUUAGGCUACACGGCCACAUCCACCUAUUUUUCAAACAUGUCCUUAUG
ensembl:ncRNA lncRNA:CR44066 long non-coding RNA:CR44066